rnacentral:lncRNA from 1 species
GUUGUGGAGGUUAGGACUAGUAACAUGGAUGGUGUGGAGGUUAGGACUAGUAACAUGGAUGUUGUGGAGGUUAGGACUAGUAACAGGGUUAAUGAGCCAUGGUGGUGUUGAUGUUGUCUCUAUGGAAGUGCUGCCCUGGAAGUGCAAGGUAGUCAUCCAGUGUUGUAGACCCAGCCGUGCAUUUCUCUCUCUGUCUGUGUCUCUCUCUCGUUCUUUGUCGCUCUCUCUCGCUCGCUCAAUCACUACUCCUCCUCUCUCUCUCCCCUUCAUCUCUCUCUUCAUCUGUCUCUCGGUCUUUCCCUCCAUCUCUCUCUCUGUGUUAGUGAUUACAUCACUCACUCACUCUCUCUCUCUCUCUCUCUCUCUCUGUCUCUCUCUCUCUCUCUCACCCUCUCUGUCUCUCUCUCUCUUGCAUAACCGCCAGCUUUGUUUGCUCCAGCUGAGGACUAAUCUUUCCCGCGAGACAGACUGAAGGAACAAGGGAGAGGAGGAGAGCAGGACAAGCCAACCUUUAUAACCUGACUGGACGCUCUGCCUCGUUAAUUCAAUCAGUCCACCAAUUAAUGGGCUUUAGAGCAGAGCCCUGUUUACAACCACCGUGACCUGUGUGUUUAUGGAGCGGUGUUUUUAAUCUGUGUGUGUGUGUGUGUGUGUGUGUGUGUGUGUGUGUGUGUGGAGAGCAGGCGCAUGGUACUCCCCAUGGUAGCCCAGUCGUACUGAAGGAUAAACAGUGAUUAUCUGGGCUGCCUGGAGAGAGACACAUGCUUAUGUACCACUCUCAGACAGACCACACAUACAUGUGAGGGACACGGUAGCCAAGACAACGCUCUAGCUGCAGUCAGAGGAGAAUAACACAUAAACAAAGACACGCAGAAUCACGUUCAGUCAAGUGUGACUUGUCCUGCCUUUCAUACACGCGUCCACACAGAUACACACACACACAAUGCCGCUGGCGGCGUCUGUGAGGUGAGUGCGAGGCGAAUGUUACGUAAGAAAGAUCAAAGCUACUUAAUCAGCUUUGAGAGAGAUGGGGGAGGAAUGGACAGAGGAGGGAUAGCGGGAAAAUAAAGAAUGGGGAGAGAGAGGGAUAGCAGAGAACAGAGGGUAGAGAAAGUGGUGACAGGCGGUGACACUGCGCGUGUCCUCGUUCCCUGUUUACGAUGGGAUAAUCUCACACACACACACACACAAACACACAAGCUGUGCUCUGUCCUCCGUGUCCCCCUCACAGCCCACUGUGACAUGCUGUUGCCAAUGCCACGAUAGCGUGUGUGUGUGUGGUGUGUGUGUGUGUGUGUGUGUGUGUGUGGUGUCUGUCUCUUCUUUUCCUAUAUGCCUAUUCCAUAUCUCUUUCUCUCCCCCUCCCUCUCUUUGUAAACCCUUUCUUUGCUUACCCUUUACCUCCUCCCUCUCUUCUCUCUCGCCCACUACGUCUCUCUUACAGGAAUUGUUAGCAGAUGUGGACAGAGCUUUUUCCUUCAUCUAAAAUUAGCCCCAAUAGAAGAAUGGCAGGAAAAGAGGGAGGGAGGGAGGGAGGGAGGGAAAGGGGGAUUGAUGGAGAAGCAGAAAGGAAUAGGGAAGGAAUAGGUUGAUGGUCUCGGUGAAGUAAGGGUGUAUUUUUGGGACCUCACACACCAUGCUGACGCAGUCAAGCCGUCGGGGGCACAAACAAAUUUGGAGGAGAGGAACAGCGUCCCGGCGUCUGAGUAGCAUGUGAUGCUAACCCGUCCUGCUGUUGUUGAAAAGGCCUGGAUUAAGAUUAGGACUAGUUGUAAGUGAAUAAUGAUGAGAAGGAGUAGUCUGACAGCAGGCAGCAGUAGUCUGACAGCAGGCAGCAGUAGUCUGACAGCAGGCAGCAGUAGUCUGACAGCAGGCAGCAGUAGUCUGACAGCAGGCAGCAGUAGUCUGGCAGCAGUAGUCUGACAGCAGGCAGCAGUAGUCUGACAGCAGGCAGCAGUAGUCUGACAGCAGGCAGCAGUAGUCUGACAGCAGGCAGCAGUAGUCUGACAGCAGGCAGCAGUAGUCUGAUAGCAGGCAGCAGUAGUCUGAUAGCAGGCAGCAGUAGUCUGACAGCAGGCAGCAGUAGUCUGACAGCAGGCAGCAGUAGUCUGACAGCAGUAGUCUGACAGCAGGCAGCAGUAGUCUGACAGCAGGCAGCAGUAGUCUGACAGCAGGCAGCAGUAGUCUGGCAGCAGUAGUCUGACAGCAGGCAGCAGUAGUCUGGCAGCAGGCAGCAGUAGUCUGGCAGCAGGCAGCAGUAGUCUGGCAGCAGGCAGCAGUAGUCUGAUAGCAGGCAGCAGUAGUCUGACAGCAGGCAGCAGUAGUCUGACAGCAGGCAGCAGUAGUCUGACAGCAGGCAGCAGUAGUCUGACAGCAGGCAGCAGUAGUCUGACAGCAGGCAGCAGUAGGGGAGAGGGACUAUAGAAAGGUCUUCUUCCACCUCAGCAGUUAGAUAAUUAGGACUCUAUAAAAUCAGUUAUACUUUUUAUCUGAACUGUUUAGUUUUUCCCCAAAUCACAUUUUCUCGGUUUAGUUUUUCCACGUUUCUGUUUUCCCCAAAAAAUGUUCAGGUUUUCACUCUCUAAAGUCAACAACAAUACUUAAACCACAUCAGGAGACCGCUUUUGAGGUCUGUGGAUUUUGGUGUUGUUGAAAUGUAGAUUUCUGGCUGUAGUUACUGUUUAAUUCCAUUGUGUAGUUAGCAAGAGGCUGUUGUGUAGAAGUGUUUUUGUAGCUCACGUGAUGGUAGAGUUUACAAAGCAAACACUCACUGGAUUGACACAAAUAAUCCUGAUAUCAUUCUGACAGGAAAGCAUAGGCUACUUUGUAGUUAACAUUUCAUUGAGAAGGUUUUUGGGAAAGCCUUUCUAUCUACCAGAAGACUUUUCAUUAGCAUCAUCGCUAACAGCUACACAGUGGUAGAUGUACCGCACAUACAGACAGGGGGAGUUAUUGUUGCCUCUUCAGAAAGUUGCAGGAAAAUACACAUCACUGAGGCAUUCUGGAUGCUAGUUGAUACAAUUCAAUCAAUACAUUUUGGAAUAUUGUUGAAUUCUGUUUUAAUGUCUGGAUUCCGUGAUUCCGUCCACGUUCGGCGCAUCUCUGAUGUUAUAGGGCCCGACAUAAUACACUCAGCCUCUCGUUGGCACCAGGGACACGGAUGUUUGUGUGUGUGUGUGUGUCUGUGAGCACGUGUGUGGAAGAGAACAGAGAAGUCCUGUAUAGUGUAACAGGUGAGUGAGAGGCGCCUGCAGUGGAUUCCCCAGGACACUACAGGACAGACCAGACAGACAGGCAGCACCACUCAACACACUGGCUGCAUAGCCUACAUAGUGAGACACAUGGAUCAAACACCACCAUACUGAGGUCGCUAAUGAAUGAAGUAUCACAUCACCUUAAACAAUCACCUGAAGAGUUGCAUCGUUUCAUUACUUUGUAAUGGGGUUAUUUAGUGGGGAGGACAGUGGAGCAGUUGUGGAGGGGAGGACAGUGGAGCAGUUGUGGCGGGGAGGCUGUUCAUAUCAACAGGCGGUCAGGUGUUCUUUUCUUGGCGCCUCCCCAGUGAGUGGGAACGUACCGGCCACUGGAUAGGAGGAGGGAGCGGGAACGUACCGGCCACUGGAUAGGAGGAGGGAGCGGGAACGUACCGGCCACUGGAUAGGAGGAGGGAACGGGAACGUACCGGCCACUGCAUAGGAGGAGGGAGCGGGAACGUACCGGCCACUGGAUAGGAGGAGGGAGCGGGAACGUACCGGCCACUGGAUAGGAGGAGG